UACGAAGGGGGCUAGCGUUGUUCGGAAUUACUGGGCGUAAAGCGCACGUAGGCGGGUUUGUAAGUAGGGGGUGAAAUCCCAGGGCUCAACCCUGGAACUGCCUUCUAGACUGCAAGCCUGGAGGUCAGGAGAGGCGAGUGGAAUACCGAGUGUAGAGGUGAAAUUCGUAGAUAUUCGGUGGAACACCAGUGGCGAAGGCGACUCGCUGGACUGAUACUGACGCUAAGGCGCGAAAGCGUGGGGAGCGAACAGG
rnacentral:rRNA from 1 species